rnacentral:tRNA from 1 species
CGCGGGGUGGAGCAGCUCGGUAGCUCGCUGGGCUCAUAACCCAGAGGUCGCAGGUUCAAAUCCUGUCCCCGCUACCG